rnacentral:rRNA from 1 species
UUAACACAUGCAAGUCUUAGGAGAAAGUUCCUUCGGGAACAAGUACACUGGCGAACGGGUGAGUAACGCGUAGGUAACCUACCCUUAAGCUUGGGAUAACCCACCGAAAGGUGGACUAAUACCGGAUAAUAUCUCUCUUCAUAGGAAGUUGAGAUCAAAGAUGGCUUCGGCUAUCACUUAUGGAUGGGCCUGCGUCUGAUUAGUUUGUUGGUGAGGUAACGGCUCACCAAGGCAAUGAUCAGUAGCUGGUCUGAGAGGGCGAUCAG